CCUGGCUCAGAACGAACGCUGGCAGCGUGGAUUAGGCAUGCAAGUCGAACGGGAAGUCCCGACUUCAACUCUUCGGAGGAGAAGACGGGAUGGAGAGUGGCGAAAGGGUGAGUAUCGCGUGGGCAAUCUACCUCUAAGUGCGGAAUAACCUGGCGAAAGUCGGGCUAAUGCCGCAUGUGGUUUUCCGGCGCCUGUCGGAAGGACUAAAGGCGGGGAUCUUCGGACCUGCCGCUCAGAGAGGAGCCCGCGUCCGAUUAGCUAGUUGGUGAGGUAACGGCUCACCAAGGCGACGAUCGGUAGCCGGCCUGAGAGGGUGACCGGCCACACUGGGACUGAGACACUGCCCAGACUCCUACGGGAGGCUGCAGUCGAGGAUCAUUUGCAAUGCGCGAAAGCGUGACAAUGCGACGCUGCGUGGAGGACGAAGGCCUUCGGGUUGUAAACUCCUGUCAUGCGGGAACAAUACCCCGCCGUUAAUAGCGGCGGGAUUGAUGGUACCGCAAGAGGAAGCGACGGCUAACUUCGUGCCAGCAGCCGCGGUAAUACGAAGGUCGCUAGCGUUGUUCGGAUUUACUGGGCGUAAAGGGUGCGCAGGUGGUGCCGUGUGUCGGACGUGAAAUCCCGGGGCUCAACCCCGGAACUGCAUCCGAAACUGCGGCACUCGAGUACAGGAUGGGAGAGCGGAAUUCAAGGUGUAGCGGUGAAACGCGUUGAUAUCUUGAAGAACACCGGUGGCGAAGGCGGCUCUCUGGAAUGUUACUGACACUGAGGCACGAAAGCGUAGGGAGCAAACAGGAUUAGAUACCCUGGUAGUCUACGCCGUAAACGUUGCGUACUUGGCGUGGGAGGAAUUAACCCCUUCCGUGCCGGAGCUAACGCGUUAAG
rnacentral:rRNA from 1 species